GACGAACGCUGGCGGCGUGCUUAACACAUGCAAGUCGAACGGAAAGGCCCUGCUUUUGUGGGGUGCUCGAGUGGCGAACGGGUGAGUAACACGUGAGUAACCUGCCCUUGACUUUGGGAUAACUUCAGGAAACUGGGGCUAAUACCGGAUAGGAGCUCCUGCUGCAUGGUGGGGGUUGGACAGUUUCGGCGGUUGGGGAUGGACUCGCGGCUUAUCAGCUUGUUGGUGGGGUAGUGGCUUACCAAGGCUUUGACGGGUAGCCGGCCCGGGUGCGGGACCGCGCACAUUGGGACUGAGGGACGGCCCAGACUCCAACGGGAGGCAGCAGGGGGGAAUAUUGCACAAUGGGGGGAAGCCUGAUGCGGCAACGCCGCGUGCGGGAUGACGGCCUUCGGGUUGUGAACCGCUUUAGCCUGUGACGAAGCGUGAGUGACGGUAAUGGGUAAAGAAGCACCGGCUAACUACGUG
rnacentral:rRNA from 1 species